CCUACGGGGGGCAGCAGUGAGGAAUAUUGGUCAAUGGGCGAGAGCCUGAACCAGCCAAGUCGCGUGAGGGAGUACUGCCCUAUGAGUUGUAAACUGCUUUUGUACGAGGGUAAACCCCGAUACGUGUAUCGGGUUGAAAGUAUCGUACGAAUAAGGAUCGGCUAACUCCGUGCCAGCAGCCGCGGUAAUACGGAGGAUCCGAGCGUUAUCCGGAUUUAUUGGGUUUAAAGGGUGCGUAGGCGGUUUGAUAAGUUAGAGGUGAAAUGUCGGGGCUCAACCCCGAAACUGCCUCUAAUACUGUUGGACUAGAGAAUAGUUGCGGUAGGCGGAAUGUAUGGUGUAGCGGUGAAAUGCUUAGAGAUCAUACAGAACACCGAUUGCGAAGGCAGCUUACCAAACUAUAUCUGACGUUGAGGCACGAAAGCGUGGGUAGCAAACAGGAUUAGAUACCCGUGUAGUC
rnacentral:rRNA from 1 species